AGAGUUUGAUCAUGGCUCAGAACGAACGCUGGCGGCGUGCUUAACACAUGCAAGUCGAGUGCGCGCCUGUAGCAAUACAGGUGGCGCACGGCGCACGGGUGCGUAACACGUGGGUAAUCUGCCCUCUGAUGGGGAAUAACUCGCCGAAAGGCGAGCUAAUUCCGCAUAACAUUCCGAGGACUUUGGUUCUUGGACUCAAAGGCGUAAGUCGUCGGAGGAGGAGCCCGUGCACGAUUAGCUAGUUGGUGAGGUAAUGGCUCACCAAGGCUAUGAUCGUUAGCUGGUCUGAGAGGAUGGCCAGCCACACUGGAACUGAGACACGGUCCAGACUCCUACGGGGGCAGCAGUGGGGAAUCUUGCACAAUGGGCGAAAGCCUGAUGCAGCGACGCCGCGUGGGGGAUGAAGCUUCUCGGAGUGUAAACCCCUUUCGACCCGGACGAAUACCUCGCAAGAGGGGUGACGGUACGGGUAUAAGAAGCCCCGGCUAACUACGUGCCAGCAGCCGCGGUAAGACGUAGGGGGCCAGCGUUGUUCGGAAUUACUGGGUGUAAAGGGUUCGUAGGCGGUGUGGCAAGUCGGGAGUGAAAUCUCUGGGCUCAACUCAGAGUCUGCUUCCGAAACUGCUGUGCUUGAGUGUGGGAGAGGCGCGUGGAAUUGCAGGUGUAGCGGUGAAAUGCGUAGAUAUCUGCAGGAACACCCGUGGCGAAAGCGGCGCGCUGGACCACUACUGACGCUGAGGAACGAAAGCUAGGGGAGCAAACAGGAUUAGAUACCCUAGUAGUCC
rnacentral:rRNA from 1 species